AUCCGCCUACCACUACUUCACAGAGUUAGCCCGAGUCCCUGGUAGCGCAGCCCGGACGUAGCCACAGCUCACACCGCGGGACACCCUGGAAGAGACGCAGAGCCCCCAGGAGGAUGACCGGCGGCGCACACUGGAUGUGAACAUCGUGUCGGGAGGAUGUGAGAUGAACCGGGGCAAAUCAGCGACCAACGACGUCAUGUUGGUCCGGAGCUCGAACGGCCGAGGCCGAGCCAGAGUGACUCACGCCGUGGUGGUGAUCUUCCUGGAGUUCUUCGCCUGGGGGCUGCUCACCACGCCCAUGCUGACCGUCCUUCAUGAGACGUUUCCUCAGCACACGUUCCUGAUGAACGGGCUGGUGCAGGGCGUCAAGGGGUUCCUGUCCUUCCUGUCGGCUCCUCUCAUCGGGGCUCUGUCCGACAUCUGGGGCAGGAAGUCCUUCCUCCUCAUGACCGUCUUCUUCACCUGCGCCCCCAUCCCCUUCAUGAGGAUCAGCCCCUGGUGGUAUUUCGCUCUGAUCUCGGUCUCGGGGAUUUUCUCUGUGACCUUCUCUGUGAUCUUCGCCUACGUCGCCGACAUCACGGAGGAGCACGAGAGGAGCAUGGCCUACGGCCUGGUCUCCGCCACCUUCGCCGCCAGCCUGGUGACCAGCCCGGCCAUCGGGGCCUACCUGUCAGCGCAGUACGACGACAGCCUGGUGGUCCUGGUCGCCACGGUGAUCGCCGUCGCUGACAUCGCCUUCGUCUUCUUCGUGGUCCCCGAGUCGCUGCCCGACAAGAUGAGGCUGACGUCCUGGGGAUUCCCCAUCUCCUGGGAGCAGGCCGACCCCUUCGCCUCUCUGCGUCGGGUGGGUAAAGACCCCACGGUGCUGCUGAUCUGUGUGACCGUCUUCCUGUCCUACCUGCCUGAGGCCGGACAGUACUCCAGCUUCUUCCUGUACCUGAGACAGGUGAUCGAGUUCUCCCCCGCGGCCAUCGCUGCCUUCAUCGCCAUGGUGGGGAUCCUGUCCAUCGUGGCCCAGACCCUGUUCCUCAGUGUUUUAAUGAGGACGAUCGGCCAUAAGAACACGGUUCUCCUGGGUUUAGGCUUCCAGCUGCUCCAGCUGGCCUGGUACGGCUUCGGGUCCGAGCCCUGGAUGAUGUGGGCAGCAGGGACAUUAGCAGCCAUGUCCUCCAUCACUUUCCCAGCAGUUUCUGCUCUGGUGUCACACAGCGCCUCCCCAGACCAGCAAGGUGUGGCUCAGGGGAUGGUCACCGGUAUCCGGGGUCUGUGUAACGGUUUGGGUCCAGCGCUCUUCGGCUUCAUCUUCUUCCUCUUCAACGUGGAGCUGAACGACCUGCAGCCUGUGGCCGGUCACCCGGCGCCACGGCACGAGAAGUCCAUCAUCCCUGGUCCUCCCUUCCUGUUCGGGGCAUGUGCCGUCGUGUUCGCUCUGCUCGUUGCCAUCUUCAUCCCCAGCCACCGCCGCACCAGCGACCUCAAGACGUGCUCCGCCCACAAGCCCGCUGGCUCCGCCUCCUCCGCACACGCUCAGAUGGCUGCCAGCCCUCUCACCACGCCGGCCAGCGAUGCCGAGGACAUCGAGCCGCUCCUCCAGGACAGCAGCCUCUGACCGGCCAAUCAGAGCGCCCCAGUCCCAGAAGCCCCGCCCCCUCCAGAGUAAACUGCUUUUAUUGGUUCAGGAAACGUUGGGCUGCAGCCACAGCGAGCAUCUGACAUUCAUCCACAAGAUUUAACAAUAUAUUUAACUUUAAUAAAAGAAAUCUGCACAAACGUUAUACAAACUAAACAUUUACAUCAUUGGUUCCAGAAUGUCCCUCCUCCCCCUCCAUAGUUUCCUCUGGCCGCCGCCCCCUCCGUCUACCUGAGGCCACAGAUCUAACAUGGAGCCUUCACCAUGAACGGCACCACGGCCCUGGAUAAACCAACAUGGCCGCCAACAUGGCCGCCAACAUGGCCGCCAGACGUCACCCUCACUGAGCAUGUGCAGGACCUCAGGCUGUUAAAGAGUUGGAGAACAGAAUAGUCUGGGCUCCUUUACUCCUCCGUCCAGUCUGAACCUGAACUCCUCCGUUUAUCACCUCCUCCUCCUGUCUGAAUACUUGAAGCUCCUCCCGGCUCAGCUGGUCCUCCAGGUGGCGCUAAUGAAGCCGCCCUCAGAGCUGAUGCUUCACAAACAAGAUGUGCCAUCUCUCUCUCUCUCUCUCUCUCUAACAUUCCUGCAGAAUCCAGCCUGUCGGUAAUCGCCACGGUAACAGGCGUCAUGGAGCAGAGGUGGGGGGGCAACAGAAAACUCGACUGAAACGUUACAAAGCAUCUUGUUUUUUAUUGUUGUUGAACCUGAUGAUGAUGGUGAUCGUUUAUUUGACAGGCAUCAAACAUACGGCCCGCAGGCCUAACGUGGCCCCCAGACCGUCUAACGUGGCCCCCCCAGGCCUAACGUGGCCCCCAACAGCAAACAUAGAAAACUAAUAUCUGUAAUUUAUCAACUGGUUUAUUCAGAGAAGUGGACAGAACACAGCACCGACACCAGGACUAGAAGUAAAUAAAAACCAGGUGUAGAUGACGGGACGCUGCGUUCAGGCUCCGUGGGAUUUGGCUCAUCUGUUCAUCACCGUCACAUCAGUUUCACGUUCAGUUCCAGUGUUUCCUCCAGUCUGAAGAGUUACUGAAUGUCUUUUAUUUGUUUUUAAACCAAAAAUCUUUCCUGGAGCUGAAGACGUCGACGACUAAUGAACUAACUGAGCAGCUGAGAGCCAACAUGGCCGCCAGAGGAGACGUCUCCUGGUUGACGAGGAGACGUCUCCUGGUUGAUCCAGAUGUUUCCUCCUGCAGCACUUUAAUUUCUCUGUGCCUCUAACCUACUUGUUCAUAUCUGUUUUUAUAUAUAAACCCAGAGGAGACGUGUUCGUGCUUUUGCAGUUGAUUUCUUUUCUCUUAUUAAGGAUGUAAUUUUAAUAUCUAUGACAAUGAUGAUAAUAAUAAUAAAGAUGUAUGACGUUUUA